UACGGAGGGGGCAAGCGUUGUUCGGAAUUACUGGGCGUAAAGCGUGCGCAGGCGGUCUGUUAAGACCGAUGUGAAAUCCCCGGGCUUAACCUGGGAACUGCAUUGGUGACUGGCAGGCUUUGAGUGUGGCAGAGGGAGGUAGAAUUCCACGUGUAGCAGUGAAAUGCGUAGAGAUGUGGAGGAAUACCGAUGGCGAAGGCAGCCUCCUGGGCCAACACUGACGCUCAUGCACGAAAGCGUGGGGAGCAAACAGG
rnacentral:rRNA from 1 species